UGUCAUAAUUCACACCUUUCUCCCUGAUAGGUUGCCGGCGAGAAAUGUGACGUUCAUGAGCAUAUGGAUGGCAUUUGCAUAGAGCCACUGAAAUGCAAGAAAAAUAUUUGUACUUAGAACUACACUGUUAAUCCUUGGAUUUCAGGAUGAAAAAGGAGUGGAAAUAUUUCAAGGCUGUAUCCUACUUCUCAGCAUCUUGGUGAAGAAUUAAAUGCCUUGUUAUUCAUGAAAAAUAAGAAGGAAAAAAUACAUAUUGUACAGUGAAAUGCAAGAAUGACGUAAAUGGCAAA